rnacentral:rRNA from 1 species
CCUACGGGAGGCAGCAGUAGGGAAUAUUGCUCAAUGGGGGAAACCCUGAAGCAGCAACGCCGCGUGGAGGAUGAAGGUUUUCGGAUUGUAAACUCCUUUUGUUAGAGAAGAUAAUGACGGUAUCUAACGAAUAAGCACCGUCUAACUCCGCGCCAGCAGCCGCGGUAAUACGGAGGGUGCAAGCGUUACUCGGAAUCACUGGGCGUAAAGAGCGCGUAGGCGGGAUAGCAAGUCAGAUGUGAAAUCCUAUGGCUUAACCAUAGAACUGCAUUUGAAACUGUUAUUCUAGAGUAUGGGAGAGGUAGGUGGAAUUCUUGGUGUAGGGGUAAAAUGCGUAGAGAUCAAGAAGAAUACUCAUUGCGAAGGCGACCUGCUAGAACAUAACUGACGCUGAUGCGCGAAAGCGUGGGGAGCAAACAGGAUUAGAUACCCCUGUAGUC